UCAAUCAGCAUUUAAAGCUACAGACUCAGAAAUGACACAUACUAAGGAAAGGUUAUUGUGGGACUGGCUCUAGUGGAUGGAAUUCUACACCAAGGCUGAAAUUUGGGAAAAAAGACUCAGAUACGUAUUAGGGACCACUAAGGUCUAUAAAAAAAGAGCUUCAGAUACAGUAUUAGGACCACUAAGGUCUAUAUAAAGACACUCCAGAUACGUAUUAGGGACCACUAAGGUCUAUAUAAAAGACACUUCAGAUACAGUAUAAGGGACCCACUAAGGUCUAUAUAAAGAGACUUCAGAUACAGUAUUAGGAGACCACUAAGUUCUAUAUAAAAGAGACUUCAG